CGACACUCAAGUACACAGAGACGCUGAUGAUAGGAGGCAUAUUUUAAAUAUGUUUGAAAAUGGUACGAUAGUGCGACUCACACUGGAGAAGAAAAGUGAAGAGCCAACAAAGUACUUGCGAAAGACACAGAAGAAAGAAUCAUUAGACUUGAGGCCAAAUGACUUCAAGUGACCAGUUCUGGAAGCGUAUCUGAAGGCUGAUGACUGUACUGAUCUGGAAUACUGUCUGAUCACAAAUUUGUGAGACCUACAUAACGCCAACCAUACAUCCCAGUGCUAUGGACAAACAAGUGAGAUGCAUCACUUUGGACUUCAUGUUGAAUCGGAACCUAACCAGCCAUUUCACAUUGAUACAUUUGUUGAUCACCUAUCAGAAUUUUUAGGGAACGUACUUUGGAUGAUAUUUAAUGAUGUCCUAUUGUUUGAUGAUGACCUGUCAUUUGAGGACAGUUCAAAGCUAAAAACCAAGAGGAGGGAACAGAACCCAAAAGCUCUACAAACUCUGGAGAUCAUCCACGUAAAAUGUAAUGCUUUUUACAGCAUUAUAUAAACCAAAUUUUCUCAAUGCAAGGGUCGUAGUGUAGAAUUCUGUUUUUUGUUCUGAUGAAUAAUUUCAUUCACAAAUGUGUCUGUUAUUGGAGGCAAUGAUAGUGGUAUUUUUAAAUGACAUCUGGGGAAAUAAUAAACAGGACUUUGUGUAAAUACUUUGUUGAAAUAGACACUUUAUAGCCUUCAAGUUACUAAUAAAUUUAGUUUUUU